GACGGAAGGUGCAAGCGUUGCUCGGAAUCACUGGGCGUAAAGGGUGCGUAGGCGGCCGCGCAAGUCUGGCGUGAAAGCCCCGGGCUCAGCCCGGGAAGGGCGCUCGAAACGGCGCGGCUCGAGUGCCGGAGGGGAGAGUGGAAUUCCUGGUGUAGCGGUGAAAUGCGUAGAUAUCAGGAUGAAUACCGGUGGCGAAAGCGGCGACCUGGACAGUUACUGACGCUGAUGCACGAAAGCUAGGGGAGCAAACAGG
rnacentral:rRNA from 1 species